rnacentral:ncRNA from 1 species
AAGAAACUCUUAGGGAAUCGAUCUAGACUAGAUGAGAUGCCGCUGCCAUUCAACUAGCUGCCAGAACGAGUAAAGGUUUCCUUGGGUCGGACGAAGAUUGGCCCUCAAGUGCAAAGGCAGAAAGGAGCUUGACAGCAAGAUCCACCCGUCGAGCAGGGACGAAAGUUGGCCUUAGUAAUUCGACGGUGCCGAGUGAAAGGGCCGUCGCUCAACGGAUAAAAGUUACUCU